rnacentral:misc_RNA from 1 species
GUCAUCAGUGAUCUGGUCCAACAAGCUGGCCUCCCCACCGCCUCCAGUCCCCGACGUGCCGCCGCCACCACCGAUCCAAUUUUCCCACGACCGCUCCUCGGCGUUCACCGCAUCCUGCUGGGCCUCGCGCAGAUCAACAAUCGCUUCGGCCUUUCUCGUCCACGUCUUGAACUUUUCAUCCUCCGACAGCCCCUUGUCGCUGCCAAUCUCCUGAAGCAGCUCGUCCUCCUCCCUCCACCCGUCCAGACUCUCGUCGUCUUCGUUCCAGUCCGAGAAGAAGGUCUUCCACCACGGCCGCUGCCACUUGCUGGGCCGCCGCCUCCUCCUCCUCCUCGCGAAGACCGUCGCGUGCCUGUGCCUCGCCCUCCUACUCCUGUUACUCCUGUGGGAACCGAGAGCGAGCACCCCUCGCGCGCAGACACCUCCAAGGCCGCCGCAGAGGGUCCUGCUUCCCUC